rnacentral:lncRNA from 1 species
CUUCGAUUGUUAUACCAGAUGCAUUAGUUCUGCCAAAGCCCAUGGCUCUGGUCGGAAACAAAAUCUACUUCCUGUUGGAUAACAAUAGCAUCAUUGAGUUCGUUUUGGAUAAUCAUACCUUGGGUUUAGUUGAGGAGGUGCCAUGUACCUAUGAUCAGAUUCUCAUCAUGCCGACAGAGGAUGGAUGCCUUGGUUUAGCUGGAGUGGAACGAUUCAAUUUCAAUCUUAAUCUGUGGUCAAAGGUGGCGAGCACUGACGGGGUGGUGACAUGGACACAUCUAAGGGUCAUUCAACUCGAAAAAAUUCUUGCGCCUGAAGCAGUGUCAGUGUGUAUGGCUGGAGGUAUUGGAGCGCAUGCAGUUGGCUGUGCGGUAGAUGCGGAUGUGAUCUUCAUCGAUGUGUAUCCUAGCAUCUACAUGAUCCAUCUCAAGUCCAUGAAGAUCGAGGAGGUGUCGAAAGAACGAAUCGGCAGACAAUAUGUGUUUCCUUACACAAGUUUCUACGCUCCAGGUAUCGCCAGUAUUUACAGUGUCGCAUAGUUCACUUUAAUCUUCCAAUUCAGAGUUCACUUUAGUCUUUCAAUUGUAUCUGCCUUGUAGAUGCUUUAAAAUAUAUGAGCCAGCCAUAGUUCAUUUACAAAUGACAAGUUUUCAUGGAGCUUUUUUUGAAAGAAAUACUAACUAAAUGAUGAGCAAAUAAUACUCUGAAUCCUCCUCCAGCUGCUGCUCGUUCUAGUAGGAUUUGCACCAAGUUACUAACAAGUCACUUACGCAACUACACGAGAGCGAAAAAUAACCCUUUCACAACUAGAAGAUGUAUAGGAGGAAGUCCUGGCAUUGUUACUUGCAUGUGUUUCACAUAUUUACUCUUCAUCCAGACUCAUAUCCUGCCAUUUGCUUGUUUCAUUAUUCAUAAUCAAUUAUUUGAUGUUCAAUUGGGCUACAUAUCUAAAUGUAAACAGUGAUCAUUAUGUUUAUUGGUAGAGUUUGGGCUUGUACAUUUAGUCAAGUGGCACCAUUAAAAAGUAAUUUGCUUACCAGUAAGCAUACACUUGAGGAACAAUAUAGUUAUAUCCUCCUGGCACCGGUUUAUAAUUGUUCUUCCAUGUUGUUCUGUUGUGGUAUAUUGGAUAAUAUAAUCUCACUGAAUCACGAGAGUUGAUAAAUUAAGGAACCAAAGUGACCAAUAGUCUGCAUUUUGUUUGUGUUGCAUAAUAGAACAAUAACCAAUUAGCGAGUCAAUGCUGAACUCUUUUCUCGUUCAGUUUAAGCAACUGGACUCUAAUGUCUGGACUCUGGAUAUUGCCUUGUCAAUUGCUCGAGCUUCAAGCUAUGUUGGAAUUUAGGGUGGUUACUUAGUUUCUUGUUUCUCUUGUCUGCAUUCUUUGUUCUAAACUGUAGAAAAUAUGCGUUCAUUCUGGUAUUCUUUCGCUCUCAUGUGCAUACAAAGCAUAGAUAUAAAUUACGAAUGGGCCACACCAAAACAAAUUCUAAAAAUGCUUCUUGGUUAAGUAAAUCACUGGAUACUCUUUCUUAAUUGUUCCUUGACUACUUGUAGCAAAAGCUAGUAUUUUCUGCAAGGUGAGAUACAUAAUAAGUGUUUCAUUUAUGUUUCACCACCUCUUAUCAGUUAUUUUCUUGUCCAUGUUUUUCAAUUGUUAUUGACUUAUAUUCUUCUCAUAGGAAUUGCCAUUGGUGGUACAAAUGAUCAAGUUGAACUGCUGAACAACAGUUGAGAUGAUCGUGCUGUUACAUCUGCUGAUAUGCUUUGUUGGUUUAAGAGGUGAUAUCACAUCCUAUGUUACUAUUAUCCAUUGUUUUGUUUGCAACCACUGGAUCAAUAUUCUUUGCAGUGGUGUAAAAAAAUCCAGUGCUAUGCACAAUACAUCUGGAACCUUGAAUAAUGUGACUAUGUCACCUACUUUGACCUUAUUCGCUUUUUCUCCUGGAGCUGGGAAACACUCCUCGAUCUGUACAGUUCAUAGUUCAUUAUGCCGAUGUGCUACCACAAUGCAGUUUAUCAUAUCAAACAAUUUUAUAUCAUUUCUUUGAUAUCCUUUUGUUGUAUAGUUGCAUCUGUCACAAGCUGGAGUCGUUGCAUUUUAGAAAACACAAUGACUGGAAGGUUUCAGUUCAAUCUUCAGAUAUGAACACAUGCUCUCAAGCCAAAAGUGUUUCAAUAUUACUAGAAAUCAAACGUUGCCCAUGACUGGUAAUCUUGCUAGUACAGUGUCCUACUUGUUCUCUCUCUGCUGAGAUGUGCAAAGAGACGAGAGAACAAGUUUAACUGGUAGAAACUGUUUUGCUAGUGCAGUUUGAAGAGAUAUAGUUUUCUCUGUAUUUUUGCCCCUCGUGAUUGUGAGUAGCCAAAGUUAGCUCCGCUGAUGAGAUUGCUGCUGUGCAGGUUUCCGUCGAGCGGUGAAUGUAGCUGUAAAUGAAGUACUACUCCUUGAGAAAUGUGUUGCUCGCUUGCAAAACGUGAGGAAUUAAUCGCGCAAAACGUUGAACAACUGCAACGGUGGUUGGUAAAAUGUACAUCAUCCUGUGAAAUAUUGCUGAGGACAAGAGCCUGUUCGAGUUUGGUUGGCUUUGGUUGUCCAUUUGUGGCUUUAAUAAUGCUCUGUACUGCAGAACAUUCGUGCUGAACCAAUAUGUUCGAUUUUUCUCCUGAAAUUCCUAUGGCUUUGUGAGCUCUUUGAUCCCCCGCUAAAAAUUGUUAUAGUUUGUUCUUUUCUUUUCUGGGGUACCAUCGAAUGUUUCGUAAUGCACAAAGUUGAAGUCUGCUAGUGUGAUGGCAUGGAAGUAUGGCAGCUGCUAUACCUGGGGAGUAUAUAUGCAGUUUCUCUCCUGCAAAUUUGAAUUCUAGCUUCAGAUGAGUAUACAUGCUUUUCGCUGGCAAAGUGCGCAGAACGCGAAAAUCGUGACGGAAGCAACGCAACGCGCUUGGGCCGUUGCGCUGUACCACAGUUUUUUUAUAUAUGAACUCAAGCUUUUAGCCGGACGUUCAGCGUCUGGGUUCAUGUCUUAAGACUAAGGUGAAGGGCGUUUCAGCUUCAGAAAUCAUGCAUCCACAGUUGCACGGUGUAGAUGUUGUCGCAGUAGUCAAGUGUGGGCGCCCGAGCUUCCGAAGUACUAGCCUCCAUGACAGCGUUUGUUAGCGGUGAAAAUAUUCUCCUAUUACCGUUUGAACUUGCAGAUAUUGUUUGCUCUGACUACUGGCCCCUACGAGAAGUUGGAAUUGCCUCUGCUGAUGAGAUUGCAUGCUAUUCAGGUACCUAUGACGUAAAAAGAACUUUAUGCAGGUUCUUCAACCUUUUGCCUGGUGAAGCAAUGUGAUGUUAACUCGCAAACAUGUCGAAUUAAUCACGGGAUAUUAUCCAUAGUGAUAUUUUUGGUGUUAACCAACUGCACUGGUGGUCGCAAAAAUAAACGUCAUACUUUGUUAGAAAAUCUGUAGAAGAUGAAUUUGUUUGGCCUUUGGUGUCUCCAUUUUUGCCGUUAGUAAUGCUACGUGGCACGUCUUGUGCUGAACCCGUAUGCUGCUGAUCGUAGUGUGAUGUCUGGCCUUGCUUUCUUGAGGGCAUGUCUGUUACUCUAAGUUCUGUAAUGCGUUAAUGUGAUGCUCUGGCUGAUAUAUUGCUAUCUGCAGAAAGCCAACUCUUCAGAUAUUUUUGAGGGUUCAGACUUGUAAACCACUUGAUGUGUUUUUUGUUUUUUGAGAGAGAGAACAAUAAGUUUUAGUUUGAUUUAGAGUUUGCGUUCACCUUCAAGGGACUGGCAGCAUUGUCGCAGUAGACAGAACAUACUACACACUGCUACUUCUUCCAUUACUGAUACUGCAUAGAUGGAACUCAAUGUUCAGCUUCCACAUUACAUGCAAAUAGUUGAGAGAGAAAUGAGUAUAUAUGUUUCAUGUGCAUAGUGAGAGGCGGCACAUGUGGCCCAUGACUGUGUGGUUCGGGACGUCGCUGAAGCUGCUGUUCACGCGGCCACGUACGGCGGGGGGGCUGGUCCAGGGAGGACGACAGUCGUAAGGUGCAACUCUGGAAUUCCUAUUGCGUUGAUGUGAUGCCAUGACAGUAUGGCACUUGCUAUCUUUCCAUUCCAGGCUAAGUGGUGACCCAACUUCUCCAGCAAAAUAGAAUUCUAGCUUCAGAUGCGGAUGCUUUCGUUGAUACUACAAAACAGACUCUUGAGGGUUCAGAGACUUGUGAACCCUUUGAUUGCCUUUUAUACGUUUCAGUCGGAUUUAGAGUAUGGGUCAUCUUCAAGGUGCUGGCUGGCAUUGUUACAAUAGUUCAGUCUUCAGUGGCUGAACCGGACCUACCACUGACUGGCAAUUUCGUUUCGGAAAAGCAUUUCCAUCUACUAUUUUUUUUUGAGAGACAUUUCCAUCUACUAUUGGGAUAGCUAUAUGUCAGUAGAGAAACAUCAAUGGAUCAAGUGAGGACAUCUUUCCACCCAAUCUUGUGCGCCAACCCGCAUACAUCGCAAAUGAGCUUGAGCAGCGAAAAAGAAGUUUUCUAAAUGUGAAAAAUAAUCAGGAAAAAAAAUAGACAUGCAAAAUGUUUAGGUAGCAUGCAUGGGAUUGCAUUUUUUUUCACAAAAACAAGAUCAUUAUUGCGACCUGUGUAUCUCAAGUUUUAAUGUUUGAAAAUUUAGGGAAGUAUUGAAUUUUUUUUUGUCGAUGGUGAAAAUCUAUGAAUACCCAUAUAAAUGAUUCAAGAAAAUACAUGUGUAAUUUUUACAUUUUUGGAAGUUUUUAAAUUUUAUUUUUAGUUUAAAUUUGUCCUGGGAACCAAUCCUCUCUGCUAACUCUAGUCACAUGGUAAUUCUUGCAUUUUUUUUCAUUAAGAAGAGCACCAUCACGACCUAUGUAGAACUCAAGUUUUAAUGUUUGAAAAUUUAGGGAAGUAUUUAGUUUUUUUGGAGAAAAAAUCUAUGAAUACCCAUAUAAAUGAUUCAAUAAAAUACAUUUGUAAUUUUUUAAAUUCUUUAUGAAGUUUUUAAUAUUUAUUUUCAAGUUAAAGUUUGUCCAGAGAACCUUUCCUCUUUGCUAGGUCUAGUCACAUGUUAAUUCUUGCAUUUUGUUUUCACUACAAAAAGCACCAUUGCAACCUAUGUAGAAGGCAGAACACAAGUUUUAAUGACUAAAUUUUUAGAAAGUAUUGAGUUUGCCUUUUUAGGGAGAUUUUUAUAUGAAUAUGCAGUAUCCAUAAAUGAUUGAAACGAUUACAUCUGUAAACUUUUACAUUUAGUAUUUAUAAGUUUUUGUAGUAUUUACUUAAAGCUACUAUUUUCCCUGAGAACCUUUCCUCUUCUCCGGUGACAUGGUAGUCUCUUGAUGCCUUUCAAUUAUGGUAAGAAUGUGCACUAGCGUUAGAGUAAAAAUGCAAGCGGUGACGCCAUUUCUGUGAAGUGGAAGAUCACAACAUUCUUUCCAAAAUCGCAAGGUUAAAGAGGAGCCUAGAAUAUCAGACACUCCACAUUGAAUGAUGUAUCUGUAAUUGGUGUUUUCUUAUGCUGACUUUAUGAUAUAUGAGUUGAGUUUUCUUGCACUUAGCCAUGAGUGUCUAGAAGGUACAUGGGUUUGUAUAGUGUGUGGUAUUUAUGCAUUGUGAUUGGGCCUGAGGUCCUAGGACAGUAUGAUUAAUCGGGUGUUUGCCUAAAGGUUUUUGACAUUUUGCAAGCUAUAAGUCAUAUUAGUAAAUUUAUAUUCAAAAAUAGUUUGUUACUAUAUAUAUUGUGUUAUAUAAUUCAUAUUUUGUUUAUCUAUUUACCUAUGUUAAGAGAAGAUUAAUGAAGGUUGCUGAGGAAAGGAUGACACCACUCACACCUGCCACCAACUUUAGAGUCGAUUUCCUAUUAAAUUGAUGGUCAAUGGGAGGAUGCUUUCAUAUUGGUCAAUGUUUUCUCAAUGUGAUGAUGCUUUGGAAGCGCUUUCUGUUUUUCUUUUUGACAAAGGGUGGAAGGGGGUCUAACUUAAGGGAAACACUUUGUGCCUGGCCGACCAGCGGAAACUUCGCCCGGUCACGCGCGAGCCACGUGAUCGAGGUGCAUCAUACAUCUCACGCACCUCCCUGCCCCAACUUAUCUUCUUUCUUCAUCUACCUUCUUCCUCCAGAUCCCCUUCUCUCUUUCUCUCUCAACCGCAUCCACGCACGGUGGUGGCCACGCUCCUCGCCUUCCUCCUUCAAAUCCCGCCGCCGGCUAGCCCCAAUCCCGCGCAGGUCCCUACCUCCAACCUCGGCGCCCACGCGCACUUCUUCCGCUGCCCAUGGUCGCAGAUUCCUUCCGCCCCGGUGGGCCGGAGUUGGAUGUUGCCUAGUACUCGCCCUAACCUAAACUAGGGCCUAGUUAAUUUGUUCAUUCUCUCAAAGCCCAAAGCCGACACACACCCACUUUCCCCCAAACCCCCGAACUCCACCCCCGAACUCAUGGAGGCACGGACGAGCUCGCCGGCGGCCGAUGUCGGGUCGCUUCCCCCGGACGAUCUCCUCCGGGAGAUAUUCAUGCGCCUCCCGCCAGAGCCGAUCUACCUCUUCAGCGCCUCCUUCGUCUGCAAGCACUGGCGCAGCCUUGUCCAUGAGGCCCGCUUCCUCCGUCGCUUCCGUGAUUUCCACGGCGGCACGCCUCCCGUGCUCGGCUUCUUCAACCAGAAAGGGCCUCCCUUCUUCGUCCCCACCUCCGGCGGCUUCACGCUCUCCAUGGCCACCAUGUCUCGGGAUGAUUGGUGGGCCCUCGACUGCCGCCACGGCCGCACCCUCAUUGAGAGCUGCCGCACCAGGACGCUGCUCGUCUGGGACCUCGUGACCGGCGACAAGCAGCACCUGCCGCUCCCCGAGCAGUCCUGUUCUCACUACAAUGGCGCGGUUCUGUGCGCGGCUGGCCACACCGACCACCACGACUGCCAUUCUUGCCUGUUUCUCGUGGUGUCCGUGUUCAGUGACGACAACGAUUUCAUCACCUCCGCAUGCGUCUUCUCGUCUGAGACCGGUGUCUGGGGUGAGAUCACUUCGAUUGUUAUACCAGAUGCAUUAGUUCUGCCAAAGCCCAUGGCUCUGGUCGGAAACAAAAUAUACUCCCUGCUGGAUAACAAUAGCAUCAUUGAGUUCGUUUUGGAUAAGCAUACCUUGGGUUUAGUUGAGGAGGUGCCAUGUACCUAUGAUCAGAUUCUCAUCAUGCCGACAGAGGAUGGAUGCCUUGGUUUAGCUGGAGUGGAACGAUUCAAUUUCAAUCUUAAUCUGUGGUCAAAGGUGGCGAGCACUGACGGGGUGGUGACAUGGACACAUCUAAGGGUCAUUGAGCUCGAAAAAAUUCUUGCAC